CGAGUCCGAGUCUCCACGGAGACGAAGUGGCGGUCAUCCAGCUUCCUAGAAAAGCUCUAACCACGUUAAUCUUUAGUUGCCUGUACCCGAAACCGACACAGGUAGGGGGGUAGAGAAUACCAAGGGGCGCGAGAUAACUCUCUCUAAGGAACUCGGCAAAAUGACCCCGUAACUUCGGGAGAAGGGGUACCACUGAGAAGUGGUCGCAGUGAAGAGGCCCAGGCGACUGUUUACCAAAAACACAGGUCUCCGCCAAGUCGCAAGACGAAGUAUGGGGGCUGACGCCUGCCCAGUGCCGGAAGGUUAAGGAAGUGGGUUAGGGAUUCGUCCCGAAGCUGACGACUGAAGCCCCGGUGAACGGCGGCCGUAACUAUAACGGUCCUAAGGUAGCGAAAUUCCUUGUCGGGUAAGUUCCGACCCGCACGAAAGGCGUAACGAUCUGGGCGCUGUCUCGGAGAGAGGCUCGGCGAAAUAGGAAUGUCUGUGAAGAUACGGACUACCUGCACCUGGACAGAAAGACCCUAUGAAGCUUUACUGUAGCUUGGAAUUGGGUUCGGGCUUGGUUUGCGCAGGAUAGGUGGGAGGCGAAGAAGAUUUGCUUGUGGGUGAAUCUGAGCCAACGGUGAGAUACCACUCUAACCAGGCUAGAAUUCUAACUUCAACCCGUCAACCGGGGGAAGGACAGUUUCAGGUGGGCAGUUUGACUGGGGCGGUCGCCUCCUAAAAGAUAACGGAGGCGCACAAAGGUUCCCUCAGGCUGGUUGGAAAUCAGCCAACGAGUGCAAAGGCAGAAGGGAGCUUGACUGCGAGACCUACAAGUCAAGCAGGGUGGAAACACGGUCUUAGUGAUCCGACGGCACCGAGUGGAAGGGCCGUCGCUCAACGGAUAAAAGUUACCCUAGGAUAACAGGCUGAUCUCCCCCAAGAGUUCACAUCGACGGGGAGGUUUGGCACCUCGAUGUCGGCUCAUCGCAACCUGGGGCGGAAGUACGUCCCAAGGGUUGGGCUGUUCGCCCAUUAAAGCGGUACGUGAGCUGGGUUCAGAACGUCGUGAGACAGUUCGGUCCAUAUCCGGUGUAGGCGCAAGAACAUUGAGAGGAGUCUUCCUUAGUACGAGAGGACCGGGAAGAACGCACCGCUGGUGUAUCUGUUAUCGUGCCAACGGUAAACGCAGGGUAGCCAAGUGCGGAGUGGAUAACCGCUGAAAGCAUCUAAGUGGGAAGCCCACCUCAAGAUGAGUGUUCUCAUGGAGUAAUCCAGUAAGGUCACGGGAAGACGACCCGUUGAUAGGCGGUAGGUGGAAGUUCAGCAAUGGAUGAAGCCGAGCCGUACUAACAGACCGAGGGCUUGAUCAG
rnacentral:rRNA from 1 species